GUGAGGAAUUUUCCGCAAUGGGCGAAAGCCUGACGGAGCAAUGCCGCGUGAAGGAUGAAGGCCUAUGGGUUGUAAACUUCUUUUCUCAGAAAAGAAUUAUGACGGUAUCUGAGGAAUAAGCAUCGGCUAACUCUGUGCCAGCAGCCGCGGUAAGACAGAGGAUGCAAGCGUUAUCCGGAAUGAUUGGGCGUAAAGCGUCUGUAGGUUGUUUAAAAAGUAUUCUGUCAAAGAUUAGGGCUUAACCCUAGAUAUGCAGAAUAAACUUUUAAGCUAGAGUUUGGUAGAGGCAGAGGGAAUUCCCGGUGGAGCGGUGAAAUGCGUAGAUAUCGGGAGGAACACCAAAGGCGAAGGCACUCUGCUGGGCCAAUACUAACACUGAGAGACGAAAGCGAGGGGAGCAAAUGGGAUUAGAAACCCGGGUAGUCC
rnacentral:rRNA from 1 species